GGCUUUUCAAUGAGGCUGCUCACAUAAUUCAACAUGGUAAAGAGAAGUUUUAGAUUCAAGUCUCAAAUGCCACGUUUCAUUCGAAGUAAAAAGCGCAAUUACUUUUCCAUAAAAAAGAAUCAACCCCGGACUUGAGAGUUGAGAAGGAGUAAGGCCCAUGCGCAAGGAUGACACGCACAAUCGAGAAAUGGUUCAAAUUUUU
rnacentral:snRNA from 1 species